CAAAUUUACAAUACUUGAGGUUAUGACAUGGACAUCAUUUAAAAAUUAGAAUUUAAUUUACAAGUAUGGAAGUUUAAUGACUAAAUGUUAUGCUUAAUUGAAGAAGGGGGAUUUUCUUUACAAAUUUUAGUUGUGGCCCAUUUAAAAACCACUUGUUCAUUUCAUUACACACACAAAAACAUAUACAAGAAUGUGGAAAGUGGAAACGGGGCAGAAGCUGGGAGAAUUCGAGAAAAAGAGGGAGAAAAAGAGAGAAAAAGGAAGAAAAAAAAGAAGAAAAGAAAGGAAAUGGAAGAGGCCGGUGAUUUUUAUAAGUUUGGGUUCUUCAUUUCUUCAGCUUAUCCUUAUUUUAAAGAGGUAAGUUAAUUAAAUUUCUAGAGUUUAUGAACCAUUCAUUCAUAUUCGAAGUUUAGCAAGAAUUAGAGAUUAUUAUUAUAUUUUUGAGGUAUUAAACAAGAAUAUAUCAAAGGAAUGUAUAUUUUGAAAUUUGUGAUGAAGAAAUUGGAAUUUUGAAGGGGUUUGUGAGAUAAAUACUUACUCUUUGAUUUUGUUGUGAUUCUAUAAUAUUGAACACUUAAAUUAGGGAUUUGAGGUUGGAAUUUUCCAUUUUUUAAAGGUAAUUUUAGGGUUACUGUAGUAUAGGUGCUAUUUCUAAAAGUGUGCCCAGAAUGUUGCCACUUCUAUCAAUAGUUUUGGGGCCAAAUUUCAAUAUCUAGAAAUUGGUGUCAGAUUUCAACAUUAUGGAAUUUUAGUGCUGUCUUUGUCAAACCUUUGAUUUCACAUUUUAAAGGCUUGAAUGAAGUUUUAUGACAAGUAUUGAGGUUUAUGUAUCGGAAUAAAUUAUGCAUAGGGGUUGUAUAUGUAUAAGUUAUUGAUUUUAAGGAAGUGUGAGUAAUUUAAUGGAUUUAAUAAUGCAUGGUGUUUUGUUGAUGAAUCAAUAAAGAAAAUAAAAGUUGGGGAACUAGAGAUGUAAAAGUAAAUAUAGAAGUUGGGGAGUUAAGUGGUGAAAUUGUAUUACUUUAAUUGUCAAGUUUUAAUUUGAGUAACUAUACUGUUAUUUCAGGUAAUGACGUGAAAGUUUGGAAAGACUUGUCAAUUUAAGUAGAUUUCUAUCCAUAGAUCUGUAAGUGGAAACAUAUAAAUGUUUUUAAAGUAUUUAUAAAUUAAGUCUAUUAUCAAAGUAUGUGCAUUUAUUUGCAAUUAUGUGUUCGAUUUUAUGAUUAUUACAGAAAUCUCUUUUAUUAGAAUACAUGCGGAAUCUCAAAGAUUAUUUAUGGCAUAUUUAUAAUUUGGUAUGUGAGACAUGUGAUAUUGAAAUUUGUUUGGUAUGUAAGACAUGUGAUGUUGAGAUUGACCAAAAAAGUACCCAUGAUUAUAUACUUCUUCUAGUUCACAGAGAGUCCUUGGCCGUGUUCUACACUACACUGAGGGGUCUUGGACCGUAGAUGAAGGGGUCUCGGACCGUAGAUGAAGGGGUCUCGACCGUAUAUAUAUAGUUUACAGAGGGGUCUUGACCGUGUUCUAAAAUUGAUUAUGAGAAGUCUUUGAUAUCGACUUUUUGUUUACGGAGGGGGCCAAAGGCCCAUGGCAAAAGUUCUUAACCCAAGUGGCGGAUUAUAUAUUUUAGUCAGAGGAUAUAUUUUUGGUGAAUUGUUCAAUACAUUUGCUGUGAUGAGAUUAUAGCAUGAUUACCACCUUUUGUUCAUAUUAUGAUUUUGAGAUGAUAUUUUACCACG
rnacentral:lncRNA from 1 species